CUUUUUUUGUUUAAAAUAUAAGAUAUGACCUGCCCAAUGAAUUUUUAAAUGGCCGCGGUAUUUUGACCGUGCAAAGGUAGCAUAAUCAUUAGUCUUUUAAUUGAAGGCUGGAAUGAAUGGUUGGACGAAACAAUUACUUUCUUUAUUAUAAUAAAUUUGAAUUUAAUUUUUAAGUAAAAGAGCUUAAAUUUUAUUUUGGGACGAGAAGACCCUUUAGAAUUUCUAUAAAUUUAAUAAUUUAAUUUAGUUUGAUAUUUAAUAAAAUUAUUAUAAAUAUUUGGUUGGGGUGAUUAGAAGAUAAAAAUAACUCUUUUUUUUUUUAAUAUAUAUUUAUAAAAUUUUGAUCCAUUAAUAUUGAUUAAAAGAUUAAAUUACCUUAGGGAUAACAGCGUAAUUUUUUUUGAGAGUUCUUAUUGACAAAGGAGAUUGCGA
rnacentral:rRNA from 1 species